ACGCUGGCGGCACGCCUAACACAUGCAAGUCGAACGAAGUAGCAAUACUUAGUGGCAGACGGGUGAGUAACAUGUAGGUAUCUGCCCUUUGGCCUGGAAUAACACGAGGAAACUUGUGCUAAUACCGGAUAAGUCUUUACGGAGAAAGCUUUAUGCACCAUUGGAUGAGCCUGCACUUGAUUAGUUUGUUGGUGGGGUAAUGGCCUACCAAGACUGUGAUCAAUAGCUGAUUUGAGAGGAUGAUCAGCCACAUUGGGACUGAGACACGGCCCAAACUCCUACGGGAGGCAGCAGUGGGGAAUCUUGCACAAUGGAGGAAACUCUGAUGCAGCGAUGCCGCGUGAGUGAAGAAGGCCCUUGGGUUGUAAAGCUCUUUCGUCGGGGAAGAAAAUGACUGUACCCGAAUAAGAAGGUCCGGCUAACUUCGUGCCAGCAGCCGCGGUAAUACGAAGGGACCUAGCGUAGUUCGGAAUUACUGGGCUUAAAGAGUUCGUAGGUGGUUGAAAAAGUUAGUGGUGAAAUCCCAGAGCUUAACUCUGGAACUGCCAUUAAAACUUUUCAGCUAGAGUAUGAUAGAGGAAAGCAGAAUUUCUAGUGUAGAGGUGAAAUUCGUAGAUAUUAGAAAGAAUACCAAUUGCGAAGGCAGCUUUCUGGAUCAUUACUGACACUGAGGAACGAAAGCAUGGGUAGCGAAGAGGAUUAGAUACCCUCGUAGUCCAUGCCGUAAACGAUGUGUGUUAGACGUUGGAAAUUUAUUUUCAGUGUCGCAGGGAAACCGAUAAACACACCGCCUGGGGAGUACGACCGCAAGGUUAAAACUCAAAUGAAUUGACGGGGACCCGCACAAGUAGUGGAGCAUGUGGUUUAAUUCGAAGAUACGCGCAGAACCUUACCAACACUUGACAUGUUCGUCGCGACUCUAAGAGAUUAGAGUUUUCGGUUCGGCCGGACGAAACACAGGUGCUGCAUGGCUGUCGUCAGCUCGUGUCGUGAGAUGUUGGGUUAAGUCCCGCAACGAGCGCAACCCUCACUUUUAGUUGCCAUCAUUAAGUUGGGCACUCUGAAAGAACUGCCAGUGAUAAGCUGGAGGAAGGUGGGGAUGACGUCAAGUCCUCAUGGCCCUUACGUGUUGGGCUACACACGUGCUACAAUGGUAUCUACAACAGGAAGCAAGACUGCGAAGUUAAGCAAAUCCCUAAAAGAUACCUCAGUUCGGAUUGCACUCUGCAACUCGAGUGCAUGAAGCUGGAAUUACUAGUAAUCGUGGAUCAGCGUGCCACGGUGAAUGCGUUCCCGGGUCUUGUACUCAC
rnacentral:rRNA from 1 species